CAGUCGCCGCGGUAAUACAGAGGGUGCGAGCGUUAAUCGGAUUUACUGGGCGUAAAGCGUGCGUAGGCGGCUUUUUAAGUCGGAUGUGAAAUCCCUGAGCUUAACUUAGGAAUUGCAUUCGAUACUGGGAAGCUAGAGUAUGGGAGAGGAUGGUAGAAUUCCAGGUGUAGCGGUGAAAUGCGUAGAGAUCUGGAGGAAUACCGAUGGCGAAGGCAGCCAUCUGGCCUAAUACUGACGCUGAGGUACGAAAGCAUGGGGAGCAAACAGGAUUAGAUACCCGCGAGUCCCUGUCUCUUAUACA
rnacentral:rRNA from 1 species